CUUGGCUGCUUCCUCUUGCUUUUCUUUACUGGAAGAAAUUUUGUUACAGCUUUGAUCUCAUUACUUGUUAUAGAUCUGCUCAGGUUUUGGACUUUCUUCAUGGAUCAGUCUUGAGAAAACAGAAAGGAACCCUCAAAGUGUGACUGUAUAUGAUGCAGAAAAAUGGGGAAGUCUGGCUAAGGACUCUGUGAAUUGCAUGAAUAAGUCAUAAAUUGGAGAAGACAGAUUGAAAAAGAAGAACUUACUAAUUUAGAGGUGACUAAAUCCUGAAAGCCGAGUAAAAAUCCACAUGUAUCAAGUAUGCCAGGCUCAGGAAGCAGCAUGUAUAGGAAAGCAAGACAUA
rnacentral:lncRNA from 1 species